AGAUGUGAUCAUACUAGCACUAAAAUAUCGAAUUCCAACUUUGAAGUUAAGCGUGCUUGAGCGAGAAUAGUUCUAGGAUGGGUGACCCAUUUGGAAGUUCUCGUGUUACACUUU
rnacentral:rRNA from 1 species